UCGCUCCGCUCACGCCAUGGCGGCUAGGGUUUCUGUCACCAACUGCAUAUCCGAUUCACGCCGCCAUUCCUGGUUGCUGCCCCCAGUGGGUUUCAUUGAGGAAAAUGGUAUUCCUUCGCCUUCCCACCCCGCAAGCCUGUUCAUCGUCGUCGUCGAGGAAAUAGUCCUACCACCCCUCGCCAAGCAAUGGAUCCGACCUCCCCUAAAGUCCCGAGCAUGGCCUCCCUCAAGUUCUCAAGGCCGGCAUCCUUUGCUCCCCAUCGUUGGCUGAAGUCUGGUCUCCCCUGUACGACCCAGCCUCCUUCCCACUUCUUAACCACUAGUAUCGUCGGCCCUCAUCGGAGCCAUAAGGAUUGACUGUUGCUCCCUCAUCUUGCUACUUGAACGAUUGAGUUCCCCAGUUGACGAGAAAAAACAAGAAAGCAGUUGAUUACAAGUACAGCCACAAGCCAACAAGGGUGUUGAAAUUUUGGGAUUCAAUAAGCAUGGUAUAUUGGAAAGAUCAUGCUAUUGGGGAGGCAGCAAGAGCAGCAGCCAUGGCUUCAAAAGAAAUGGACAGAAAGUUCUUACUGUUAAGGAGAUACCAAACUUGGAUGAUCAUAUUACUUCAGAUUGGUUUGAUUUUCUUACUUCUAGGGUAUGCAAUAAUUUCCAUGUCUUUAUUGUCACUUUCAAUUGGAGUGUUAAAUCUGCUAUACAGAUUCUCUCUCUGGGUGUGCACCACUACCACAGGAAGAGAAACGCGUGUAUCUGCUACCUAGAUUGACGGAGACUGACAAAUUUAGCUACUGCAGAACAUACAUAAGAGAGAUGAGAGAGAAGCUCAUGUAUAUGUUGGAGAGAGAGAGAGAUGCAUUCAGUUGUUUUUAUUUCAUCUAGAUUAUAUUGUUUAUUCAGCUCUUGAAAA